rnacentral:rRNA from 1 species
CAGCAGCCACGGGAAUACGGAGGGGGCCAGCGUUAAUCGGAAUUACUGGGCGUAAAGCGUGCGUAGGCGGUUCGUUAAGUCUGUUGUGAAAGCCCCGGGCUCAACCUGGGAAUGGCAAUGGAUACUGGCGAGCUAGAGUGUGUCAGAGGAUGGUGGAAUUCCCGGUGUAGCGGUGAAAUGCGUAGAGAUCGGGAGGAACAUCAGUGGCGAAGGCGACCAUCUGGGACAACACUGACGCUGAGGCACGAAAGCGUGGGGAGCAAACAGGAUUAGAUACCCGCGUAGUCCCUGUCUCUUAUAC